UACGGAGGAUGCAAGCGUUAUCCGGAAUUAUUGGGCGUAAAGCGUCCGCAGGUGGCCGGUCAAGUCUGCUGUCAAAGUCCGAAGCUCAACUUCGGGAAGGCAGUGGAAACUGAAAGGCUAGAGUUCGGUAGGGGUAGCAGGAAUUCCCAGUGUAGCGGUGAAAUGCGUAGAGAUUGGGAAGAACAUCGGUGGCGAAAGCGUGCUACUGGGCCGAAACUGACACUGAGGGACGAAAGCUAGGGGAGCAAACAGG
rnacentral:misc_RNA from 1 species